GCAAGUCGAACGGGACUUUAUCGGGGGUAACCCUGGUAAAGUUUAGUGGCAAACGGGUGAGUAACACGUGGGAUACCUACCUAAAAGAGGGGGAUAACCCCGGGAAACCGGAGCUAAUACCCCGUAAGACCACAAGAGGAAAUCCUCUAGCGGUCAAAGGUGUAUGAGUAAUCAUAUAUGCUUUUGGAGGGUACCGCGUCGCAUCAGCUAGUUGGUAAGGUAAUGGCUUACCAAGGCAGUGACGGGUAGCCGGCCUGAAAGGGUGAAC
rnacentral:rRNA from 1 species